UCUUGGAUCCCUUCUUCGUGGUUGCUGAUUAAGGCCGCGGUCGAGUGGGAUGAAUUUCCAGCAGGGGGGUCUUGCUGUGGUGUUCUGCAAUCCGGCAACGUCUCCUUCCGGCAGCCACCAGCUAUGAUUGAGGAGGAACAGAGAGUGAAUUGUUGAUCUCCUCUCUUGAUCCGAUCCGUGAGAGGUUUUUGUGGUGAUUCCGGCCACCACAGCUGGAUUGGAUUGAUUCCUCCACUAGAGUUGUGAUCAUCUCCGGUGAUAGAAGAAGCAGAGGUUGUAGAUGUAGAUAAACCUAAAUCUGAAGUCAGGAUCAUGAUGUUGAGGUUAGUUUCUUAUUGGAAGGUAAUGGGAAGGAGUAGAAAUCAUGGUUAGCUAUUACUCUAGAAUUGGCUAUUUAUUUAUAGGUGAUUCAUUUAUGUGUAGUGUAUGUAAAUAUAUAUUACAUAAACUGUA